rnacentral:rRNA from 1 species
AUUGAACGCUGGCGGCAGGCCUAACACAUGCAAGUCGAGCGAGCGGCGGACGGGUGAGUAAUGUAUGGGGACUGCCUGAUAUAGGGGGAUAACUACUGGAAACGGUGGCUAAUACCGCAUACUACCCGAUAACCCAUAUGGGAUUAGCUAGUGGGUGGGGUAAAGGCUCACCUAGGCGACGAUCCUUAGCUGGUCUGAGAGGGUGAUCAGCCACACUGGGACUGAGACACGGCCCAGACUCCUACGGAGGCAGCAGUGGGGAAUAUUGCACAAUGGGCGCAAGCCUGAUGCAGCCAUGCCGCGUGUAUGAAGAAGGCCUUAGGGUUGUAAAGUACUUUCAGCGGGGAGGCGUUACCCGCAGAGGAAGCACCGGCUAACUCCGUGCCAGCAGCCGCGGUAAUUC